GGCUUUAUAGUUGAGUAACAACGCUUAAUUGCAGAUUAAGAGGGGUGUAUAGUGUACUAAGGCUU
rnacentral:tRNA from 1 species